rnacentral:tRNA from 1 species
GGCCUCUUAGCUUGGCUGGUAGAGCGUGAGCCGUACAAAAUUGUAGGCGGCGUCCACGCGUGGGUUCAAAUCCCACCGAGGCUA